rnacentral:rRNA from 1 species
UACGAAGGGGGCUAGCGUUGUUCGGAAUCACUGGGCGUAAAGGGCGCGUAGGCGGCUGUUCAAGUCGGGGGUGAAAGCCUGUGGCUCAACCACAGAAUUGCCUUCGAUGCUGGACGGCUCGAGACCGGAAGAGGUCAGUGGAACUGCGAGUGUAGAGGUGAAAUUCGUAGAUAUUCGCAAGAACACCAGUGGCGAAGGCGGCUGACUGGUCCGGUUCUGACGCUGAGGCGCGAAAGCGUGGGGAGCAAACAGG